ensembl:snRNA U6 U6 spliceosomal RNA
GUGCAUAUAUCAGCAGCAAAUAUACUAAAACUGGAACAAUACAGAAAAUUUGCAUGCUCCUGGGAAAGAAUAACAUGCAAGUUCAUGAACUGUUCCAUAUUUCU